GCCCGGCCAAUUGCUGUUUCUUAAUGACCGGGUCCUGUGCUUAGGUGCAGACCGGUAAGCGGAGCCAGAAUGCCGGUGGCCCAGAGCUGGGUUUGUUGCAAAACUUAUGUGACUCCGCGGAGACUCUUCGAGAAAUCUCAUUUGGACCAACAGCUGAAGCUGAUCAGCGAGUAUGGGCUCCGGAACAAACGUGAGGUCUGGAGGGUCAAAUUUACCCUGGCCAAGAUCCACAAGGCCGCGCAGGAGAUGCUGACGCUUGACGAGAAGGACCCACGGCGUCUGUUGGAAGGCAACGCCCUGCUGCGGCGGGUGGUCGGCAUUGGAGUGCUGGAUGAGCGCAAGAUGAAGCUGGAUUACAUCCUGGGCCUGAAGAUUGAGGAUUUCUUAGACGCCUGCAGACCCAGGUCUUCAAGCUGGGCUUGGCUAAGUCCUUCCACCACACUCACGUGCUGAUGCGCCAGUGCCAUAUCAGGUCCGCAAGCAGGUGGUGAACCUCCCGUCCUUCAUUGUCCGCCUGGAUUCCCAAAAGCACAUGGACUUCUCCCUCCGCUCUCCCUACGGGGGUGGCCUCCCCCGCCGCGUGGAGAGGAAGAAUGCCAAGAAGGGUCAGGGCGGGGCUGGAGCUAGAGAUGAUGAGGAGGAGGAUUAAACCCACCUGUCCCCUCCUGGGCUGGUGGAGUUUUCCUGCCGAAUAAACAGGGUCAGCAUUUAAAAAAAAAAAAAAAAAGAUACAAAUUAAUGGUAGCAGUAGGGUGGUUAUUUCAUAUUUAAGGAAGUUCUUCAAAGUUAGAGAAGUACCUAGAGUAGGUCAUUUAGAAUUUGUUUAUUAUUUCUUUUAGGCCAGCAAAAAGUGUUCCAUGUUAGGUAGAACAGUGCUAAAAACUUACAUAAAAGCAAAGGUCUGUAAGUUGUAGGGGCCCCUCCAUGGUGAAUCUAGCUCUUUCUGAUUCUAAUGUUUUUAGUCAUUUGCCUUUAUAGAAGUGAGUGGCCUACCUUUUAGUUUUUUUUCCUUAAGGUAUAUUUUUAUUUUUAUGUUUAUUCAAAUAUUCUCUGAGUUCUGUCAUCCUGAUAAACCUUGGAAUGGAAAGUCGUGUGUAAAAUUUGCCACUUUACUUGAAUUCUAACACUUUUUGUGAUGUUAUCCUGUUAGAUUCUCAUUCUAAAUUCCACUCUUUCCUUCUUGUGAUUGGUUGCUGUUUGUUAGGAAAACAUGUAACAGAUUUUAGCCUCUGUGAAAAGUCACUCUUGUUCUUUUUGUUGAUGCAGAACAGCAGUAAUUUUUCCUCUUUAAAGGAAGAACAAUUUAGACAAAGGAGAUACUUGAGAGAACAGUUUAAAGAAAUUUACUGUUUUCUCAGCAUACUUUUCAAAAUGAUGUCACCCCAAGUGUUAUGAUAAUUCUUUCAAAGCUUAGUAUCCAACUGGUGAACAAAACUAACACUUGAUUGCCGCAAGUUCAGCAGUGUUUGCUGUAUACUUUCUACAUCUGUGGACUAUUCUGUUAUGAUGUUAAAACUAUUAAAGAUUAUAAUUUUAAAACUAUUCCUAAAGUAUUUAUAAACACAUAUGAAACUUGUUCUAAGUAUAACCUGUACUGAAAUGAACUGUUCAUAUUUAUAGCUCAGUAGGUAAAUUGCUCUGGAGGGCUUCAGACCAGGCUCAGCUGAGGCAAAGCAUUUUGGAUUGAUAUUGUAAGGAAAGGUCUGUUUCCUUAUUCAGCAGUUUCAUAUGAAUUUAAAAAGAUUACUUGUGCUUGGCUAGUUCUAAAUUUAAAUUUGUUACACUUCUUGUACUAGUAGACUAUGUUUUCUAUCUGCACAUUUGAGAGUUGGUCUUGGAAUGUGGCUUUGCAGGUUAAAAAAAAAGGUUACUUUUAAAAUUUCUCUUAAACUUUAUAAUUCAAAUUAGUCAAGUAACCAAGAAGAGAAAUUAGAGAGGAUACCACUGACUUGCUUUGUAUCUGUUAUUUUUCAUUUCCUUGUCUGCGAAAGUAAACUGAAUUGCAGCUUUGUACUUAGAAGUAAAUUACUAUUAAAGACAGUUUAAUAGUAGUUUAGAAAAUCUGGAAAAUGGAAAGAUGGAAUGAACUAUAAAAUAUAGAAUUUGAGCCCAGUCUUGAAGAAUACGUAGUUCUUGAUGUAUUCCAGACUUCCUCUUGGACAUUUUUUAUUCUUUGUGACUGUUGUGUGUUAUAUUACUGCUUAGUUCAUCCUCCCUCAGGGAAUAGUUGGACGUUUAUUCUGCAACUGGUAUGUAAGCACAAUCUUAAUAUUUGCCCUUUGAUGAGUCACACCACUCUGCUAUGCCUUAAUUUUCCCAUCUGUAAAAUGAUAAUGGCUAUAUAGUUUUAGAUUUAUUGAGGCAAAGCUUUAAAGUAUAGAUACGGCUUUCACUGUGAAUGAAUUUAAGAUAGAAGCUAGCAUUGCCACAGUAGUACAUUCUUCUACCUGUAACACAAAUGUUACCACAUUUUUGGGGAGAAACAAAAACAAGAAUUUGGCAUCCAAAAUCAUUUGAGUGCCUUGUGCGUGUUCUGACUGGCAACAAUCUUAACCAUCUUGUACUCAGCAUCUGGUUUAUUCAGGAGACCCCUGUAAUUAACCAGUAGUACUUCUCUGUCUUGUCUCUUAGGAAGAUUUAUGGCAUACCUCAGGUCGUGUCAGAUAACAGGGAGAAGACAGAUGAGUAGCUAGUUCUCUUAGUUUAGAAAAAAAAUUCUGUCUCCUUGACAUCAAUAUUGUUAAAUAAGAUAUGAUUUCUAAAAAGCCAUUUUCCCUCUUUAUUUGACAUGAUUGACAGCUAUACUAUCUGAACAACGUAAGAAGCUUAAGUUUCUUGGGUGUGGUUUUAAAGUCUUAGGAAAGCUGGGAUGGGCCUAGACUUUAGAGGGGAUAGGCUCAUGGUAUGUCCUGGAAUGUUAUACAAGGAAGAAUUAUUAGGCCAGGUGCCUUUCAUGUCUGUAUCUGCCAAAGUAAAAAAUGCAGAGGCAAGAGUUUGCCUCAAUAAUAGUUUCAUACAUUAUCUACACAGAGAAAAGUGACUUCUACAUAUGGCAAGAAUUCAAAUACUUUCUACGUAAUCAAUAUUAAAAGAGGGUAAGUUUGAUUUUUGAUUGGUUAUCAGGUUGAUACACAGUCCUAUUGCUGUGGUCUGCCUAACCUGUAAUUAUCAGAGAAAUCUUGUUAAACAAGAUUUUCUGAAAUGAAGCCUGUUAAUUACAUCAGAUCCUUUGGGUUUAUGUGGAACUAUUAUCGUGUCAUGCAUUGAGAGGUGCUUGAACAAAAUACUCAUUUGGAAAACUCAUUAUCUCAAAUUUUGCUUCAAACCCAUGAAUUCUAAUGGAAAGGGCAUGGUGAGAAGCAACGCUAAAUUUCUAAGCUGAACUCUUUCCUAAACAUCCUUCAGUGAUCAUUCUCUUAUAUGAGUAGAUCCCAACAAGGGUAGGGAUUGGUUAUUUUCAGGACAUCUUAUCUAAACAUUCUUCUAGGGGCAGGUCUAUGCUGGCUAGACAUAUAGAAAUCAAAAUUAACACAGUGAUGACAAUGUAAUCAGCCAUAUCUAUCCGCAACUUAUAAUCAACCGUAUCUAAGGCUGCUGAAAGGUACAUUCUAGUCAAAAUUCUGGCUCUACCCUUGACUUUCAUUAAUGAAAGGAUUUUGGACUAAAGUCUAUAAGUGAGCUUGAAUUCAAGCUGGAUUCUGCUUUGUACUUCUAGGUAAAUAGUGUGCAAAGUUAGGAAAUUAGAUCAAAAUAAAAUUUACUUUACAGCUAGGUUAAAUUGUGAUAAAAUGAGAAAUUGGCAGCAAGAAGUAUUAGUGAAUAGGACCCUCAAAGGAAAUUCAAACAAGUGUUUGCUGCCAUCACACAUAAAACAUACACAGACACACAAACUUGGUUUAAACUGUUAAAGUGGAUUUUAUG